GGAGAGGUGGCCGAGUGGCUUAAGGCGCAUGCUUGGAAAGCAUGUAUACUUGAAAAGGUAUCGGGGGUUCGAAUCCCUUCCUCUCCG
rnacentral:tRNA from 1 species